CUCUGAUUGACCAUACUUCCAGUACCUGGACAGUGGUUUCAGUAUAUGAUGUAGAAUUCAACUUUCAUAAAUGUAAUAGAAAGCCUUUAACCAUAGAGUCGGAACUUAAUCUGAUUUCAAUACCGUGACUCUAUGCUCAACAACAAUGCUCCACAAACUGAUGUUGAUUUCUCAUUUCAAUAACUACCAGCAGCAAAAUUUUGCAACUAUGAUACCAUCAGUGAUAUAAAAAAAGAAGUAACAACAGUAUACCAGGAAACUCAUUAGGCUUUAACUAAACUACUUCAACUUCGGUUGCAGCAAAUAUUGGAGCCAGUAAGGCUACUUGUAAUUGAUCAAUUUACUCUGUUUGUUCAGAAUACAUGCGCCUAUCGAAUGACUGUAACAAAAACUAAUCCUGAGGCACAUCUAACACAAACAAUUGUGAAAUCUUUGAACUACUUGCUAGACUCAGAGACAUCAUUUUGAAAAUUGAAAUAAUUGCCAGAAUUACAUAACGAAAAACAGUAGUAAAUUAUUCUGUUAUUUUAGGAGUAGUGCAAUGCACAAAAGCAAAAAAAAUUUACAAACUGAUACACAAUACUGUAUUUUGCUAAUAAAUUUGCUACCGUUAAUUUAUUUAGUCUACUGCAAUAGUAAGUGGUAGAGGCGAGCAAGGAAGUGUGCACUGACCUGGAGUUUCGAUGCAGUGUCUGAAGAGGAAGGUUCGCCGCAGCACUCUGCAGGCAGUGGAUUGGGAAGGUUUGCUGAAGGGUGGGAGAUUCUUCUUCAGAGAACAGCCCAGUCUUGAACUUCAGUAACCAAUAUUGGCCAGCAUGGUCACAUAUAUCAUCUAUCUAUUGUGUUUACCCAAGAGGGUGAUUGCUUGUCUUCCUAUGUGCCACUGCUGCAAUGUACUUCACCUUUAUG